rnacentral:rRNA from 1 species
UGACUNGAGUGCAGAAGGGGAGAGUGGAAUUCCAUGUGUAGCGGUGAAAUGCGUAGAUAUAUGGAGGAACACCAGUGGCGAAAGCGGCUCUCUGGUCUGUCACUGACGCUGAGGCUCGAAAGCGUGGGUAGCGAACAGGAUUAGAUACCCUGGUAGUCCACGCCGUAAACGAUGAGUGCUAGGUGUUAGGCCCUUUCCGGGGCUUAGUGCCGGAGCUAACGCAAUAAGCACUCCGCCUGGGGAGUACGACCGCAAGGUUGAAACUCAAAGGAAUUGACGGGGGCCCGCACAAGCGGUGGAGCAUGUGGUUUAAUUCGAAGCAACGCGAAGAACCUUACCAGGUCUUGACAUCCCGAUGCUAUUCUUAGAGAUAGGAAGUUACUUCGGUACAUCGGAGACAGGUGGUGCAUGGUUGUCGUCAGCUCGUGUCGUGAGAUGUUGGGUUAAGUCCCGCAACGAGCGCAACCCUUAUUGUUAGUUGCCAUCAUUAAGUUGGGCACUCUAGCGAGACUGCCGGUAAUAAACCGGAGGAAGGUGGGGAUGACGUCAAAUCAUCAUGCCCCUUAUGACCUGGGCUACACACGUGCUACAAUGGUCGGUACAACGAGUUGCGAGCCGGUGACGGCAAGCUAAUCUCUGAAAGCCGAUCUCAGUUCGGAUUGGAGGCUGCAACUCGCCUCCAUGAAGUCGGAAUCGCUAGUAAUCGCGGAUCAGCACGCCGCGGUGAAUACGUUCCCGGGCCUUGUACACACCGCCCGUCACACCACGAGAGUUUGUAACACCCGAAGUCGNUG